rnacentral:rRNA from 1 species
UACGUAGGUGACAAGCGUUGUCCGGAUUUACUGGGCGUAAAGAGCGCGCAGGCGGUCGAUCAAGUCGAGUGUGAAAGCCCCCGGCUCAACUGGGGAGGGUCACUCGAUACUGAUCGACUCGAAGGCAGGAGAGGGUAGUGGAAUUCCCGGUGUAGUGGUGAAAUGCGUAGAUAUCGGGAGGAACACCAGUGGCGAAGGCGACUACCUGGCCUGUUCUUGACGCUGAGGCGCGAAAGCUAGGGGAGCAACGGGG